AUGAUGUGUAACAUGGCAGUGUUGCUGAAUGGAAGGAGCUUUGCGAGAGCUAGGAAAGUAUUGGUGGAAUCUCAUGAAGAAGAGAGACAGAUAAUGUUUGAGAGGUUCUCCUUCGUGAGCUACGUCAGCGCUCAGAAGGCAUGCAUCGAAGCCCUUGACGGCUGGUUGUCCAGGUUCAUCCUAACAGACACCAUUUGUUACUCCCGGGGGAUCUCCUUGAUUGCGCCCGACAGGGCCGGCACGCCGCCCCUGGUGGUGAUCAUGAGUGGCACACCAUGCUGUCGACGACUGGAUCGAUCCUCCUCACUAGUGACUCCGGCAUAG
rnacentral:rRNA from 1 species